rnacentral:rRNA from 1 species
AUUGAACGCUGGCGGCAGGCUUAACACAUGCAAGUCGAGCGAGCGGCGGACGGGUGAGUAAUGUCUGGGAAACUGCCUGAUGGAGGGGGAUAACUACUGGAAACGGUAGCUAAUACCGCAUACCAUCAGCUGUCCCCCGAUGGGAUUAGCUAGUGGGUGGGGUAAUGGCUCACCUAGGCGACGAUCCCUAGCUGGUCUGAGAGGAUGACCAGCCACACUGGAACUGAGACACGGUCCAGACUCCUACGGGAGGCAGCAGUGGGGAAUAUGGCACAAUGGGCGCAAGCCUGAUACAGCCAUGCCGCGUGUGUGAAGAAGGCCUUCGGGUUGUAAAGCACGUUCAGCGAGGAGGCGUGAAGCGAAGAAGAAGCACCGGCUAACUCCGUGCCAGCAGCCGCGGUAAUUG